rnacentral:rRNA from 1 species
GGGUGAUCGGCCACAUUGGAACUGAGACACGGUCCAGACUCCUACGGGAGGCAGCAGUGGGGAAUAUUGCACAAUGGGCGAAAGCCUGAUGCAGCAACGCCGCGUGAGUGAUGAAGGCCUUCGGGUUGUAAAGCUCUGUCUUCGGGGACGAAAAUGAUGGUACCAAUAGAGGA